UUUACUAGUUUUGCUAGCAAGGGAAGGUCAUGAAGAGUCUCUACCUGAUGAUAAUGUUAUUUAUGUUCUUCUUUCCAUAUGCUUGUGUUUUUCGAGUUCUAAAUGCAACUUGUGAUAAAAAAAUUCUCAUGCCCUCUAGUGGAUUGAGGAUAUCUUUCUUCGUUUCUUAGACUGGUGUGAUGAACAUGGAGUAUGUUUUGAUGAUCUUUGCUGUUUUUUCCAUAGAAUAUUUCACAAAUAGUGAUGCUAAGGGUGUACCAUUACAUUUGUAUCUAUCGCCAAAUUAUGUCGGUCCAUUUCCAUUAAUUACUAAAAGUUUUUAAGUCACUCGAGUUCUAUUUUAUAACCUGAUUUGAAUUUGAAAUUUUCACCAAUGACUUCUCACCUCAUCAAAUGAGGUUGAAUCUCAACAAUCUGUUUUUUCCCCUUUAGCAUGAGAAGCUGCUUGAGAGAGAGAUUUCACCUUCAGAUCCGAAUAACGUGGAGAUGCCUGCACUAGAGUUUGGCAGCGGCAGAAGUUGCAAACUCGGAAACACAAAGGAAUCAGUUACCAGAUGAUCAUAACGACAAAAACAUCAAAGAACUAGAACCUUCGACAGGCUGAGGACAUGGCAGCUCGCGAAGGUCAUAUGUCUUAGAGGAAAUGUGCAGGCAGCAUCG